AAAACAACAAAAACACAGAUUUCGCUACCCUGUUUCUCGUACUGCAACAGAGGAAAAGUAAAAGAAAGCUAGCAGACGUAAACUUUAAUAAACGUUUAUCAAGACCACAAUGCAAUUACUUGUCGCAAUCGGGAAAUUAACAGUCAAGAAUUCUUCGCUGAAACAUGGCCGAAAAUGACGUUUCUUGCAAAAUGUGUGUUUUUGAUGGC